rnacentral:tRNA from 1 species
GAGGGUGUAGCUCAGUGGUAGAGCACAUGCUUAACAUGCACGAGGUCCUGGGUUCAAUCUCCAGUACCUCCA